rnacentral:rRNA from 1 species
AUUGAACGCUUGCGGCAGGCCUAACACAUGCAAGUCGAACGGUAGCACAGAGAGCUUGCUCCCGGGUGACGAGUGGCGGACGGGUGAGUAAUGUCUGGGAAACUGCCCGAUGGCGGGGGAUAACUACUGGAAACGGUAGCCAAUACCGCAUAACGUCGCAAGACCAAAGUGGGGGACCUUCGGGCCCCACACCCUCCGAUGCGCCCAGAUGGGAUUAGCUAGUAGGUGGGGUAAUGGCUCACCUAGGCGACGAUCCCUAGCUGGUCUGAGAGGAUGACCAGCCACACUGGAACUGAGACACGGUCCAGACUCCUACGGGAGGCAGCAGUGGGGAAUAUUGCACAAUGGGCGCAAGCCUGAUGCAGCCAUGCCGCGUGUAUGAAGAAGGCCUUCGGGUUGUAAAGUACUUUCAGCGGGGAGGAAGGCGGUGAAGUUAAUAACUUCACCGAUUGACGUUACCCGCAGAAGAAGCACCGGCUAACUCCGUGCCAGCCGCCGCCGUAA